AGAGUUUGAUCCUGGCUCAGAAUCAACGCUGGCGGCGCGCUUAACACAUGCAAGUCGCACGAGAAAGGGAGCAAUCCUAAGUAAAGUGGCGCACGGGUGAGUAACACGUGGAUCAUCUACCUUUUAGUGGGGAAUACCUUUGGGAAACCGGAGACAAUACCGCAUAAGCCCGCAAGGGGAAAGCAGCAAUGCGCUGAAAGAGGAGUCCGCGGCCGAUUAGCUAGUUGGCGGGCGUAACGGCCCACCAAGGCGAAGAUCGGUAGCCGGCCUGAGAGGGCACACGGCCACACUGGCACUGAAACACGGGCCAGACUCCUACGGGAGGCAGCAGUGGGGAAUCUUGCACAAUGGGCGAAAGCCUGAUGCAGCGACGCCGCGUGAGCGAUGAAGCCCUUCGGGGUGUAAAGCUCUUUCGACGGGAACGAUAAUGACGGUACCCGGAGAAGAAGCUGCGGCUAACUACGUGCCAGCAGCCGCGGUAAUACGUAGGCAGCGAGCGUUGUUCGGAAUUACUGGGCGUAAAGAGUGUGUAGGCGGUGUUCCCAGUCUGUUGUGAAAUCUCCCGGCUUAACUGGGAGGGUGCAGCGGAAACUAGAAUGCUAGAGGGUGGGAGAGGUAAGCGGAAUUCCUGGUGUAGCGGUGAAAUGCGUAGAUAUCAGGAGGAACUCCUGUGGUGUAGACAGCUUACUGGACCACUUCUGACGCUGAGACACGAAAGCGUGGGUAGCAAACAGGAUUAGAUACCCCAGUAGUCC
rnacentral:rRNA from 1 species